AUUGAACGCUGGCGGCGUGCUUAACACAUGCAAGUCGUGCGGUAACAGGCGUAGCAAUACGUGCUGACGAGCGGCGAACGGGUGCGUAAUACAUGGGAAUCUGCCCUUUAGUGGGGAAUAACCCGGCGAAAGCCGGGCUAAUGCCGCAUAAGAUCUUCGGAUGAAAGCGGGGGAUCGUAAGACCUCGCGCUGAUGGAUGAGCCCAUGUCGGAUUAGCAGUUGGUGAGGUAACGGCUCACCAAGGCGACGAUCCGUAGCUGGUCUGAGAGGACGGCCAGCCACACUGGGACUGAGACACGGCCCAGACUCCUACGGGAGGCAGCAGUGGGGAAUAUUGGACAAUGGGCGAAAGCCUGAUCCAGCGACGCCGCGUGUGUGAAGAAGGCCUGCGGGUUGUAAAGCUACUUUCGAUGGGAACGAAAUGUGCCGGGCUAAUAUCCCGGCAAGCUGACGUUACUCAAUGAAGAAGCACCGGCU
rnacentral:rRNA from 1 species